rfam:Pteropus alecto contig14633, whole genome shotgun sequence.
GUCUAUGGCCAUGAUACCCUAAAUAAGCCCGAUCCCAUCUGAUCUCGGAAGCUAAGCAGGAUCAGGCCUGGUUAGUACUUGGACGGGAGACCACCUAGGAAGACCAGGUGCUAUAGGUG